GGUAACUGUGGUUGAGUGGUAGAAUGUCUGUCUGUCACAUGGGCGACUCUGGUUCAACCCCAGGCCAGCGCCG